rnacentral:rRNA from 1 species
UGGCGAACGGGUGAGUAAUGCGUGACCAACCUGCCCCAUGCUCCAGAAUAGCUCUUGGAAACGGGUGGUAAUGCUGGAUGCUCCAACUUGACGCAUGUCUUGUUGGGAAAGUGUUUAGUGGCAUGGGAUGGGGUCGCGUCCUAUCAGCUUGUAGGCGGGGUAACGGCCCACCAAGGCGACGAUCAGUAGGGGUUCUGAGAGGAAGGUCCCCCACAUUGGAACUGAGACACGGUCCAAACUCCUACGGGAGGCAGCAGUA